rnacentral:rRNA from 1 species
GAUGAACGCUGGCGGCGUGCCUAAUACAUGCAAGUCGAGCGAAGCGGGGACGGGUGAGUAACACGUGGAUAACUUCCUAUAAGACUGGGAUAACCUCGGGAAACCGGAGCUAAACCGGUUACUUAUAGAUUGAUCUGCGCUGCAUUAGCUAGUUGGUAAGGUAACGGCUUACCAAGGCGACGAUGCAUAGCCGACCUGAGAGGGUGAGCAGCCACACUGGAACUGAGACACGGUCCAGACUCCUACGGGAGGCAGCAGUAGGGAAUCUUGCGCAAUGGGCGAAAGCCUGACAGAGCAACGCCGCGUGAGUGAUGAAGGUCUUCGGAUCGUAAAACUCUGUUAUUAGGGAAGCGUUACCUAAACAGAAAGCCACGGCUAACUACGUGCCAGCAGCCGCGGUAAUUC